rnacentral:rRNA from 1 species
GAUGAACGCUGACAGAAUGCUUAACACAUGCAAGUCUACCAAGAAUCACUUCGGUGAGGAAUGGUGGCGGACGGGUGAGUAACGCGUAAAUAAUCUGCCCUUUAGACUGGGAUAUCCUUUGGAAACGAAGGUUAAUACCGGAUAUUAUGAGAUGGACGCAUGUUCAACUUAUGAAAGCUAAAUGCACUAGAGGAGGGGUUUGCGUCCCAUUAGCUAGUUGGAGAGGUAAAGGCUCACCAAGGCCACGAUGGGUAGCCGGCCUGAGAGGGUGAACGGCCACAAGGGAACUGAGACACGGUCCUUACUCCUACGGGAGGCAGCAGUGGGGAAUAUUGGACAAUGGACCAAAAGUCUGAUCCAGCAAUUCUGUGUGCACGAUGAAGGUCUUCGGAUUGUAAAGUGCUUUCAGUAGGGAAGAAAAAAAUGACGGUACCUACAGAAGAAGCGACGGCUAAAUAUGUGCCAGCAGCCGCCGUAAGAC